UACGAAGGGGGCUAGCGUUGUUCGGAAUUACUGGGCGUAAAGCGCGCGCAGGCGGUUCGAUAAGUUGGGGGUGAAAUCCCCGGGCUCAACCCCGGGAAUGGCCUUCAAGACUGUCGAUCUUGAGGACGAGAGAGGUGAGUGGAAUUCCCAGUGUAGAGGUGAAAUUCGUAGAUAUUGGGAAGAACACCGGUGGCGAAGGCGCUCACUGGCGUCGUUUCUGACGCUGAGGCGCGAAAGCGUGGGGAGCAAACAGG
rnacentral:rRNA from 1 species